UACGUAGGGUGCAAGCGUUAAUCGGAAUUACUGGGCGUAAAGCGUGCGCAGGCGGUUUUGUAAGACUGUCGUGAAAUCCCCGGGCUUAACCUGGGAAUGGCGAUGGUGACUGCAAGGCUAGAGUUUGGCAGAGGGGGGUAGAAUUCCCGGUGUAGCGGUGAAAUGCGCAGAUAUCGGGAGGAACACCAGUAGCGAAGGCGGCACUCUGGGCCGUGACUGACGCUGAGGAGCGAAAGCGUGGGUAGCAAACAGG
rnacentral:rRNA from 1 species